AAAUUGACUUUUCUGUCUCUUUAAAAACUCCUGCUCUUUCUGAAACUCCACCUUCAGAAAGUCAUCACAACAGCGGUCUUCUAUUAACCCUUAAACUGCGUUUUUACCAACGUUUCAUUAACAAAU